CUGGCGAGGGCGGGAUUUCCGGCGCAGCGGACGCUGGUUUAAAGACCGCCGGACCAAAAUAGAGCGGCCCCGCUGUCUUGAGUUUUGGAGGCGACGAUGUCCGAGCCAAGGGCGCCGAGGUUCAGUGACGCGGCGCUGAAGGUGUUGGUGGAGCAGGUGAGGGCCCACAAAGAGGUUCUCUUCCCCUCGGAUGGGAGGAAAAUGCCUCGGCAGACGCUGCGCCAGGCCUGGAGGGAAGUGGCACUCUAUGUCAACCUCAAGAGUGUUACUCCCAGGACCUGGCUGCAGUGCCGCAAGAAGUUCAACGAUCUGACCCGCACUGCCAGGGACAAGUUGGCACACAAACCAAGGAAUCCGGCUUGCAGUGGGGAACGACCAGCCUCCAUUCAAGCCACCACUCAGAUGGAGCAGGAAGCUCUGGACAUCGUUGAGAUUUACAGCAGGAGGAGCAUUGAGAAUGGCGAGGCAGGAGGCCAAGUACCACAGGGUGUCUGGCAAAUUUCCCUCAUCUGCUGUGUUCUUAAGCAUCACCCAGGCAAUGUGAUCACCCUGAAAUUCAAAAAAAAAGAACAGAAAAUGCUGGAAACAUUCAGAUAGCUGUAUGUGGAGGGAGAUAGGGUGAACGUCUGAGGAUAGUCUUCUUUCAUUGUAACUGGAAGAAUUCUGAUGUAAUUCCCAUGCUCAUCUGUAGUGAUUAGUUUAAAACCACUUAGAGAUCGAGUACAGGGGUUGACACCGAUGCAUUUCCAAAAUAAUGAAUUUUCAAAUCGGGGAAAAAGUACAUUCGAUCCUUUAUUGCGAAACCAGUAAAAACAAACAACCUUACCGCAAUUUAAAAGAUGUAACGAAAUUUAAACUCGCCAUAGAGUGAAAUUACAAAAUUAGCAGUACUAAGUGGUCCAGCGGUCUAAUAACAGCGUAAUAGCGACCUAGCAGUCAACAAAAAUAAAUCACUCCCAGCUCACUCCGGCUCUCAACCUUCAACUAGACUAAGCUGAACUGAAGACAAAGCAUAGGUAUGUUUCUGUACUCAUUUACUUCUGCCACGCCCAGCCCAUGUGACAAAUUACCCAUAAUACAUGUGCAACACAAACUACAAUGUAGACUCCAUUAGACAGAAAAUGGAUUCAUGGCUCCUACACCUUUACCUCUUUUUCAAAAAAAUAUUCCUGUUGGUUUUUUUAUCGAGGUUAACAUUUAUUGCUGAAGUAUAGUUGACGUUGAGCCAACAGGUUUACAAGUAGAUGAUGGUAUAGCAUGAAUGUGAGGAAGGACAAGCCAGUGAUUGGGUACAAAUGCAGACACAGCAAAGAGUUAAAUUGUACCACAGAGGCAAAAUUCAAAAGGGUGAAGAAUGCCUAACUGAAAGUGUUGUAUUUAAAUGCAUGUAGCAUUUGGAAUAAGGUGGAUGAACUCAUGGUACAAUUAGAGAUUGGUUAGUAUAACACUGUGGGCAUCACUGAGUCGUGGAUGAAAGAAAGAUGUAGUUGGGAGCUUAACAUCAAAGGAUAUACUUUGUAUCAAAAGGACAGGAGAGCAUAGGUGGUGAUGUGGUUCUGUUCGUAAGAGAUGGAAUUAGAUCUUUAGAAAGAGGAGACAGGGUCAGAGAAUGUUGAAUCUUUGUGGGUGGAGUUAAGAAACUGCAGGGUGAAAAAACCAUUAUGAAAAUCAUAGAUAGGCCUCCAAAUAAUAGCUAAGAUAUGUCAAAGAACUGGAAUAGGCUGUUCUAGGCAGGGCAUGCUCCAGUUUCUAGGUGUCUUUUUUUUCGCAUUAUUCAUGAGAUAAACUAGUGUUCCCUAGUCCAUCAAUCACAUUAUAACCUGUUAUUAUUAUAGGAGAUGUACCUGUAAUUACAUUUUUCUGUUUUCUCAAUAUUGGCACAAUAUCACCAAAAAUGUAUUCAUAAGUGUUAGAUUUUGGUUUUGGACUAAUACAUUUUAGUUGUACGAGAGGAGAUUCAGUUGUAGAAAUUUCAGUUCAGUUGUAGAAAUUUCUGACAAGGCUUGAUGGAUUGCAUGUGGGUAAGGGUGGUAUUUGUCCUAAUUGAGUGGGGGUGGGUCUCGACUGGGAAGGUAGGGGUUGCUGUCCCCAAGCUACCCAGGACUGAGAUGAAGAGAAAUUUCUUCACUCAGGAUGGUGAACCUAUGGAACUUUAGAAAGACAGUUGGACAGGUACACGUAUAGGAAGGAUUUAGAUCAGGGGCCCCAAUCUUUUUUAUGCCAAGGACCCCUACCAUUAACUGAGGGAUCAUCUACCAUUUAGAGAGAUAUGAGCCAAACACAGUCAAAUAAAUUGGAAUUGGUUUAUUAUUGUCACAUGUUGCGAUACAGUGAAAAGCUUUUCUUGCAUUCUGUUCAUGCAGAUCAGAUCAUUACAUAAUGCAUUAAGGUAGAACAAGUUAAAACAAUGAAAAUGCAAAUAAAGUGUAACAGCUGUAGAGAAAAUGUGCAGGGAAGGGAGCUGCAAACAAAAUGAGGGAGAUUCUGAGCUGGAGACUAUCUUGCUGUAUAAGGGAGCAUCUUAAUAGUCAUAUAACAGUGGACUAGAAGCUGUUCUUGAGCCUGAUAUCUUCUGCCCAAUGGGAGAGGAUAAAAGAGGGAGUAUCUGGGGUGCGUGGGAUAUUUGAUUGUGCUGGAUGCUUUGCAGAGGCAGCAAGAUGGAAAGGCAGAGUCCAAAGAGCUGGGGGUCCCAACCUGAGGUCCUUGCUUAAUGGUAUUGGUCUGUGGCAUUAAAAAUGUUGGGAACCCCCGCCACAGAGGGAAGGCUGGUUUCUGCAGUGUGUUCAUAACUCUCUAUAGUUUAAAACAAGGCUAGCUUAGUUCUGCAUCUUGGUCAGCAGGGAUCGGUGAGGUUUUAGGGCCUGCUGUUUUGUUUUCUAUUACAGUCGGCCCUCCUUAUCCGCGGGGGAUUGAUUCCAGGACCCCCCCGCAGAUACCAAAAAACAUGGAUGUUCAAGUCCCUUAUUUAACCUGGCUCAGUGCAGUGGACUUUAGGACUUGGCAGAGCUCCGGACCUUAUUUAACCUGUCUCAGUGCAAUGAAGAGAAGUCUGUACAUGCUCAAACAAUGAGUGCUGGAGAGAGAACUUCUGUUUUUUCUUUCAAUCCCGAUUCGCGGUAACCUAUGCACAUCCUCCUGUAUACUUUAAAUCAUCUCUAGAUUACUUAUAAUAUCUAAUACAAUGUUAAUGCUAUGUAAAUUGUUAUACUGUACUCUUUAGGGAAUAAUGACAAGAAAAAAAGUAUGCACAUGCUUUAGCAACAAGUGCUGGAGAGAGAACUUACGGGUUUUUAGGUUGAAUCUGCGCAUGCGGAGCCUGUGGAUAAGGAGAGUUGACUGUACUCUUUGUGCAGAUCGAUAGCUUAAUUUGCCACAGUAAAUUGCCACUGAUAGUUGCUGAGUGGUAGAAAUGGGUGGGGGAUUUAAUGAGAAUGUGGGAGAAUAGAGGAAAUAAAUAUGGGAGGAGAAAAAGAUAUAUAUUUGGAAUAAGAGUGAAUGAUUUGUGUGUACUUGGUGGCUUGUUUCUAUGGUGUAUUUCUCUGAGUGCUCGACAACUGCUAUGCCUCCUGGACUCCUACAGCUGCAAGAGUCAAUGUGUAACUCUCUGCCUCCAAAAUAAAAAUGUUGCUUGAUUGCCUGGGGCACGGUAUGACAUUACAAACAGGUUUGUGGCCAAACGUUUGCCCCAAUUCCCUUUGCUUUUCCCUCCUUUCUAUGACAUUUUUGAUUUGGUUACUUUGGCCUGCCUCUGGUGCAGGAAUUCCCAACCUGAGAUCCACAGAUCCCUCAGUUAAUGAUAGGCGUCCAUGCAUAAAAAAGGUUGGGAGCCUCUACUCUAGUGUGUCUCUUAAGGCUGAUCCAAGCUUUGGAAGAAAGGUAUAGUUGUGAUGUUUGCAAGCGGUUACAAUUAGGAAUAGCGCAGGUCAUACUUCAGUACAUCAAAAUGGAGGAAGUCCAAUUUCUAGUCAGUUCUGUCUUCCAUUCUCAGAGUUGAAAUCAACAAUUUCAGAGAAUGGCAUUUCCAGCAUUUUCUGAUUUUUUUUUCAGAUGUCUGUCACUUGGUGAAUUUUCUUUUCAUAAUUUGAGAUGUCAUUUUGUGGGGGAGCAUUUGCAUCUCUUGCAGAAAAAAAUGUUUUUUUUACUUGCCCCAUUACUGCAUCCAUUGUGCUAUCAUUUAAAAAUAAUUAAUCUGAUCUCUAACAAUUUGUUAUCAUCUCCUCUUCUUUUAAUGCAUCUUAAAACUUGUUUGUCAGCCUUUGAAUGAAGGAUCGUUGACCUGAAGCAUUAAUUUUCUCCAUCCACUGAUGCCAUCUGACUUUUUGAAUACAGUUUUGAAUUUAAUGUCAGAUAUAUCCCAUUAUUUGGGCCUAUCUGGGCGGGAGAUGGAGGAGGAUCACCUUACCAAAGAUGCAUUGCCAUCAGCUCCAUCCUACCAAUACAACACUGAACUCAACACUUCUGUUGUGAGAGAUGGGACAGAUGGAUCAGCUCGGGUUGAAUUAUUCAGUAGUAGUGAGCAAGAUCUGGCCAUGGUGGAUAGGACAGUACAAGAGACAGAUGACAGAAGAGUAAGCUCAGAUUCGAGCUACACGGAAGAACACAGAGACUUGGAUUUGAGUGGCCCAGCAUUUAAAAGAAAAAUCUUCCAUGUUCAUCAUCAGUUACUUGAGGCUUUAGACAAUCUGUCUCGGAGCUGCCUGACGCUGUCAGAGAGUGUAGAGGAGUCGGCUUCCAUACUAUGUGGUGUUCUGCCACAAGGCCUUGCUACUCUGCAGACUACCAUGGAGAAUGUGACCAACACUCUGGAUGCUACAGUGAAACCCUCUGUUCGGGAGUCAGUGAGCCCUGAAUUGGCAUCAUUGAUUGAGGCUCAGACUAGUGCUAUUCAGGCUCUGACCUGCACCAUUUCCUCUGGCUUGGAAAGGUUGGGGGGAUGUAUUGAUAGGGGCUUUAACCAUAUCACAGAACUCCUACGGUCUGCUUUCCCAUAUGUCAGUGAUAAUGUUGAAUCUCAAUCCCGUGGUCAUGGAAGAGUGGGAGAGGCGAAUGCUGCUGUCUCUCAUAGCAGUCGUGUGCCUGCUCCCUUGCCCUGCCCUCAAUUCCAGGCUCCUUCUGUGACAGAAACAAUACUACAGUCAACACUUAGGCCCCCUCAUGCUCAAACCCUGAGAGAUCAACGAUCAUGAACAUUCCAGAGCUUUGACUGAGUCAUAGUAGCCUUUCACUGUACAAGCUGAAACCACUGUGGAAUCCAUGUAAAAGUGUAGCUAGGAAAACACUUAAAAAGCAUGUAGGAUGGCACUAGAGUGCUAAUGUAGGUACCAUGGUAUCAAUAAAGUGUAAAACACUUUGCAGUUUUAACUUUGACAAGAGGUUAUAUUUUAACUAAACUGCAGGGUUGGCUAUCAGAGUCUUCAGUGUUGGGCAAUGAUUGGAAUAUUUCAUUGGAAUUUGAAGGACUGUUAGAAAUACUCUUCAGGAUUGUUGAUGAGUAAGGGUGUAGCAUGCCUGAUCCAGGGUUUAAAAAGAUGAUAAAAGCUAAAACGUUAUUUUUUUAUAUAAAUUAUCACAUGACUUUUAAUAACAAUUGUUCUGCCAGAUGACAUAAUAACUUAGCAUACAGUUUUAACAUACCCAGAUGAAGUAAACACUAAAAUAAAAAUACAAUGAAUUUCUUCUCUGAUUCCGUCUUCACAGAUGCUGCCUGAUUUGUUGAGUGUUUUCAGCAUUUCCUGUAUGGUCUUUAGGCAUCCAGCAUUGGUAGUUUACUCUUAGAUGUUUAAAUAUGGUAUAUGCUUCUCAGUGAAAUUAAUUUGCAGUGCCCCAAUUCCCAAUGGCUACCAUGUAGCUACCUUAAUUAUGACAUUUAUACCUUGCUGUUAUUGGACCUAUAACUUCAAAUUGAUACAUUUCCCAUGAGUAAUGAAAUAAUUAUGCGGACUUUACUUAUGCUGGGUAAGCUAAGCAAACAGUAAUAGUCAUAGAGUAAUAGAAAAGUACAGCACAGAAACAGGCCCUUCAGCCCAUUGAGUCCCGUAGAGGAUGAGUUCCUGUAAAAAUUGGUUGGCUAGUUUAGUAUCUUAUGGAUCUAACAAGAGAUUAGAGUGCACUUUUCAUUGCUUACUAUGAGAUUUAAUUAGCUUAUAGUUAAGUGUGCUUUAAGAAGAGUGAUCAGAAUAUUGCAUAUAAAGGUGGAAGUGAAUUGGUUCAAUGGGAUGCCAGGAUCUUUUAAUUCAAACAAAAAUGAAGCAAGAUACAAAGGUUUGAGUCAGGAAUUGGUUAUGACAGAUUGGGAAACAAUGUUGGGAAAAAAACAUAAAGCAAUGGCUAACUUAUGAACACUAAAACAUGGUUCACAACAAUGUGCAUAUCUCAGCACAAAAAAAACAGGAAAUGUGAUCUGGUUAUGGAUAACAAGUUAAAGUUAGAAUUAAAUUGAAAGGAGAGACUUAAAAUGUUGGCAGAAAGCAGGCCUGAGGAUUGGGAAAUUUGCCGAAUU